ACGCUCGACACCUACGGGAGGCAGCAGUCGGGAAUAUUGCGCAAUGGAGGAAACUCUGACGCAGUGACGCCGCGUGCAGGAAGAAGGUUUUCGGAUUGUAAACUGCUUUAGACAGGGAAGAAAAAAGACAGUACCUGUAGAAUAAGCUCCGGCUAACUACGUGCCAGUAGCCGCGGUAAUCUGAGCGGGCUGGCAAGGC
rnacentral:rRNA from 1 species